AUCAAUUGGUGAGUUGAUUCUCAUUUCUGGCUUGUGAGAAUAAAGAAUGCCAGCGAAUGACAUAUACAAGUGUUUUUCCUUGGAUAUCUGCUUUUAUUUCUCUUAGGAAUACACCUAGGAUUUCUGGAUAAUAUGGCCACUUUUUAGUUAUAUUUUGGUGGGAUUUAUGGGUAUUUUUUGAAGUAGCUGCUUCCUUUCACAGAAAUGUGCAUGCUCAUUCACCAUCCCCAGAGAGACUCUUGAUAUAAUUCUCAUAUAUUGCAAAUGUGGGCCAGAAUUUUUGUGCUGGCUGGAUUGGAAAUAAAAUCACUACAGUAAGGAUUCCAGAACUGUACCUAGAGGAGAGAGUCUUUUCAGGGCAGAAUGCCCACAAAGAGUUAAGUAGCCAUCAAUGAGCACUGGACAAUUGUCCUUCAUGCCCGACUGACUCAACUUCUAGGAAAUGCAUUGCUUGGGGGUAUCCUGGAACUACAAGUAAGGCUGGAGGGAUGUGAGACUUCAAAAAGAUCAACCUGAGAGCUCCCAGGCUAUUUGGGGGCAGGGGGAUGGCUCAGUCAGUAAAGUACUUACCAUGCCAACCUGAGGACCUCAGCACAACCUCCCAGAACCUAUCCACAAAAAAAAAAAAAAAAAAAAAAAAAAAAAAAAAAUCCAGGUGUGUUUGUAAUCCCAGCACUGAAGAAAUGGAGACAAUGGAGACAGGGGGAAUCUCUAGAAUUGCUGGGCAGCCAGCCUAGCUGAAUUGGUGAGAUCUAGGCUCAGGGAGAGACUCAGUU
rnacentral:lncRNA from 1 species